UUGUUGUUAUUUAUCAAAAUUGCUUCAAUUAUUUAUUAAAUAUUUUUUGUUUGUUCGUUUGACCGGAACGUACGGAAUUCUGGGAUUUAAAAUGGCGGCAUAGGUUAUUAUUUUUCCCAAAGAAGAAAUGAUGCCGUGAUUUAAAGUUAAAUAAAGCUAUUCCACACAUACACACACGAUUUUGGAUUCAGCAAAGUAAAGUUGAAGAUCCUACAUGUAUAUUUGAGCACCCGUGGUGGCAGUAAUGACAAAGAAGUUCUAAAAAGAUUUAUAUGGGCUUUAUAAUGAAAGUUAGACAACACUACUACUUGCCAAACACUACUACUUGUCACAUAAUGUAAUGAUAUAAAUAUAUAUGUAUCUAUGGUAGCACAAAUAUCAUCAGAAUGUAGGCCAAAGCUUUACAAGCAUUGUAGGCCUAAAAUACUUUCUGUCUGAACUUUUGACAGUCAAUUCUUUGAUGACUAGUUAGUUUAGAGCAGAUAUCCUGUCACAGUAUUAUAUAACAGCUCUUUGGCUUAAAAUUUAAACUGAGUUGUAUCAGUGAGUUGAAAAUCAUCUGUGUUCCUGUUAUUGCUCCCUGCUGCAGCCAGUAAACAAUAACCUUUUGCGUUCCUUACAAAUCUUCCAAAUUUUACUGAUAGAUCAACCAUAGCAAAGAUCUCUAUUAAGAUUAUAUUUGUAAUGUGUGUAACAAAUUCUAUGACAUAGGUAUAAUAUUGGUGUAGUUAAGUAUAUACCAUAUUUAUGCACACAUUUCAAUAUUGGCAUAUUAUUAGUCUCUAUCAUCUAGAAAAAAAUAUUCUAUAUUCUACGAAUAUUAGUGUGGUUGCGUUGUCAACAUUUGAGAAUAAUUGGUCAUAGGCUAGAUUAUCCGGUCUUUUACAUUAUCAUAAACAAAGUCUAAGGGAGGUAACUAGUCCUAAAACAAGAUGUUGACGCCCAUGAAAUUUAUAUAAGAAUGCCAUUUCCGAAAAUCCAUUUGAUUGCAUGUUCAGUUCAAUAUCCAACACUCUUAAUUUUUUUUAUUGUAAAAUUUCUCUCUUCAUGGGCCAUAUCUAUGUUGUUUUUUUUAUUGAAUCCUAAUUCGUCAUCACUAUUCAUGUUUGUUUAUAAAUGCAAGUGUUAUUGACAACUGUCCCAGACCCUCAUUAUUUAUAUGGCCCAACUUUUCUUCGGGGUACACCGGCACGGUAUUAGACUAGGAUAAACAUUAGUCUUAUAUACCGCCUCUACUUAAUUAUGGAUGUAGGUCGGAAAAAUGUAAAAUUUGGCAAUUUGACUUAUACUAAACAUCGACUUAUGCUAUAACUGUUUCAAAUGACAAGUGCUAAAUGAAGUAUUUAUGUGGUCUUUGGUGAAAGAAAUGAAAUGAAAUGAAAUGAAAUGGGGUUUAACGUCCUACUGUUCUGCUCCUAACCUGGGCUAAUGAAGACGAGCAUAUGCCAUACAGUGUGCUAUGAGGGAAAUUUUGCCUGGGCAGCGGGGCUACGGCCUACUCUUAUAUCGAAUUCCAACUGCCAAGGGAUCUUUUACGUGCACGCCAAUGUCUACACGGGACCCCGUUUUUUUGUCCCAUAACGACUAGACAGCUGUCCUUGUCAGUCCCUCCGUCCUGCAUCACUGACAAGGGAAACCACGCCGGAAAAUCAGGAUGAACUUUCUCGGCCAAUACAGGGAUCAAACACCCGAUCUCCAGGCUAGCGAGCCAGCGUCUUACCCACUUAGCCACUUGAUCCCCCCCCUUUGGUGAAAGAGAGAGAGAGAGAGAAAUGGGGUUUACUGUCCACUGGACACAAACUAGGUCAUUUCGGGACUAACAUGGUUUAAUUUUUUAUUUACAUAAUUCGCUUGCGCGUAGGGGUCUUUAGCAGGGGGAGGAAACCGGACGACCCGGAGAAAACCCACGAGGUUGGACAGGCGACCCUACUCCUUGCCACGUACAACCGGGGAUUCGAAACCACGCCAGUCGACUCAAUGACAGACUUUAUGAUACACGCUAACCAUUCAGCCAUCCACCCCCCCCCCCCCUUUGGUGAAAGAAAACAGAGCUGUGGCUAGUGAAAUGAAAGUUUAACGUCCUACUGUUUUGCUCUGAACUGGGCUAAUGAAGAUGGGCAUACGCCAUACAGUGUGCUAUGUGGGAAAUUUUGCCCGGACAGUGGCACUACGGCCUUCUCUUAUAUCGAAUUCUAACUUCAAGGGCUCUUGUACGUGCACGCCAAUGUGUACAUGGGACCUCAUUUUUUUGUCCCAUUUUAAUGACUAGAUAGCUGUCUUGUCUAGCCCUCUGUUCUGCAUCACUGACAAGGGAGAACCACGCCGGAAAAUCUGGAGUAACUUUCUCGGCCAAUGCUAGGGUGGCCCAUGUACUCACAGAAAUACAGUCCACCGCUGAUAGUUCGAGACUACCACUGAAGCGUGCACAUUCGCCGUGCCGAGACCAACUUUCUGACAGUAAGAUACUAUAAAUAGCCAUGGCACGUGCAAUUUUCUACAAAUCUAUCAACUAUUACAGCCGUAAAAAAUUUAUUGUUGACGAUUUUGAAUAGCAGUAAAAUUAAGCUUCUUGGUUAUUACAGCAGAUUUAGAAAUUACGUUCGUUUCAUUUUUUAAAUCGCUUUAUCAUUAACUGUACAGUUAAGAGCGGCAUCUUUUGGUUUAGUACAAAUAAUAUCUCUGAAACACUCAGGUUAGGCAAGAACAUGAUACUAGCAGUAGUUUCAUUUUACUUUUACAAGCUUCUUAAAACGAUUGUUGAGCUACCUAACGUGCUUAUUUCUAAAUUCAAUUUCUUGUUCUAGCUUUCUGUUAUGUUUCGUAAAAAAGUAGUCUUGAUUAUCCCGACCUGUCAAUCAGACGUAGAAUGGUCGAUAGACUGGUUAAGCGAGACUAAUUUCAAAACAAGGGCACGUAACCUAUCUUUUACUCAAAAGUGUCUGGAUGUUAUGGACGACUCUUGGAACCAGUUUUCAGUCUAUUAUUUAUACGUGAUUAAUGGCCAUAGCUUAUUAAGUACAACAUGAUCGUUUAUUUAGUGACUAUAAUUGUGUGGAACUGAUUUGAGGCUUGGCAUAUAUAUAAGUAUUGUGGCGUAAUUGUCGAGAUAUAUGGAGAUAUUUAUUUAUGGUGGGUCACCCUACCAAUGCAGGGAUCGAACACCCGACCUCCAGACUAGAUAGCCAGUGUCUUACCGACUUAACCAACGUGAUCCCCGUUGUGGCUACAAUUCCUGGAUUUGAAGGUCAGGUAUGAUAUGAAACGAAUAUUUUGAACCGGUUCACCAAUGCAACCAAUCUGUGACGGGUUAACUGAUAGAGGGUUACAUCCUUGAUAUAAAGGUAGCUCAAAAUUCAUCUCUACAUGUACAUAGGCCAAGGGGGGAUCAUGUGGCUAAGUGGGUAAGACGCUGACUCGCUAGCCUUGAGGUCGGGUGUUCGAUCCCUGCAUUGGCCGAGAAAGUUCAUCCUGAUUUUCCGGUGUGGUUUCUCAUUGUCAGUGAUGCAGGACGGAGGGCCUGACGAGGACAGCUGUCUAGUCGUUUGGAUGGGACAAAAAAAAACAAGGUCCAGUGUACACAUUGGCAUGCACAUAAAAGAUCCCCUGGCAGUUGGAAUUCGAUACAAGAGUAGGCCAUAGCGCUGCUGCCCGGGCAAAAUUUCCCUCAUAGCACACUGUAUGGCGUAACCAUUUGCGUCUCUUCAAAAUAUUUCAAAUCUUUUGUCAUGGAUCAACCAUUGCAAAUAUCCGUGUUACAAUUAUAUUUGAAAUGUGUUAAACCAAUUCUGCAACACAUGUAAUAUUGGUGUAGUAUAUAUCUUUGUUUAUAAACCCACAUAUCAAUUUUGGCCCUGUUUGUCCGUACACUGGGUGUGAAAUGUGAAUCAUUCCGAUUGUGAUUGGACAAGCAUUAUCAAUAUACAGCUUUUCAGGACUUUGCCUUCCUUGGUUAAUUCUCCUUUUUUCAAAUGCAAUAGAUGCUGUGUUUAUUCUUAAUUGAUCUUUUUCAAAUUUGUGUUACACACUGGAAUCAUGAGAGGACGAAACCUAUCAAUAUUCAGUAUUCCACAACAUUCCAUUCCAGUGUCGGCCGAGAAAGUUCUUCGUGAUUUCCAGACUUGGUUUCCUCCCCUUGUCAGAGGUGCAGGACAGAGGGCCUGACAAGGAGGGACAGCUGUCUAGUCGUUUGGAUGGUACGAAUGACCGAGGUCCUGUGCACACAUUGGUUCGCACGUGAAAGAUCCCUUGGCAGUUUGAAUUCGAUAUAAGAGUAGGCUUUAGCGCCGCUGUCUGGAUAAAAUUCCAUAAUAGGACACUGUAUAGCAUAUUUCCAUGUCAUUAGCCCUGUCGGAAUAGGACAUUAAACCCCAUUUCAUUUCACUCAUUCCAAAGUUAACUCCUAUUCCAUCAAUACCUUGAGCAAAUAAGAUAGAGGCUAUAGGUUUUGGCCAAAUUUGGUCAAUAUCCCAGUUUUUUCUUUCUUAUAUGCAUAUCAACACUUUCAUAGCGCUAAUGUAGACCUUUUUCUUGAACAUUUUCCCUUGUCAGUGAUGCCGGACAGAGGACCUGACAUGGAUGGCUGACUAGUCAUACGGAAGGGACCAAAAAAAACCAAGGUACAGUGUAAACUCAAGUGUGUGUGUGUGUGAAAGAUCCCUUGGCAGUUGGAAUUUUAUAUAAGAGUACGCCAUAGCUCUGCACACUGUGUGGCAUAUGCCCGUCUUCAUUUCUCAAACAGCUGUGGAUAAAAACUGUUAAUAUUUAAAUGUGUAUUUUGUAUUUUAUAACAUUAUAUUUUUGUCUUUUAAAUAAAGUAUAUGUAUACA